AACGUACGCUGGCGGCACGCCUAACACAUGCAAGUCGAACGCAGUAGCAAUACUGAGUGGCAGACGGGUGAGUAUAAUGUGGGAAUCUACCUUUUGGUUCGGAAUAACACGGGGAAACUUGUGCUAAUACCGUAUAAGCCCUUACGGGGAAAGUUUUAACGCCGAAAGAUGAGCCCGCACUUGAUUAGCUUGUUGGUAAGGUAAAGGCUUACCAAGGCUACGAUCGAUAGCUGUUCUUAGAGGAAGACCAGCCACAUUGGGACUGAGACACGGCCCAGACUCCUACGGGAGGCAGCAGUGGGGAAUCUUGCACAAUGGGGGAAACCCUGAUGCAGCGAUGCCGCGUGAGUGAAGAAGGCCCUUGGGUUGUAAAACUCUUUCGUCGGGGAAGAAAAUGACUGUACCCGAAUAAGAAGGUCCGGCUAACUUCG
rnacentral:rRNA from 1 species